GCAAGUCGAGCGAGAAGACGUAGCAAUACGUUUGUAAAGCGGCGAACGGGUGAGGAAUACAUGGGUAACCUACCCUCGAGUGGGGAAUAACUAGCCGAAAGGUUAGCUAAUACCGCAUACGACUCCUGGUCUGCGGAUCGGGAGAGAAAGCGAUACCGUGGGUAUCGCGCUCAUGGAUGGGCUCAUGUCCUAUCAGCUUGUUGGUGAGGUAACGGCUCACCAAGGCUUCGACGGGUAGCUGGUCUGAGAGGACGAUCAGCCACACUGGCACUGCGACACGGGCCAGACUCCUACGGGAGGCAGCAGUAAGGAAUAUUGCGCAAUGGGCGACAGCCUGACGCAGCGACGCCGCGUGGGGGACGAAGGUCUUCGGAUUGUAAACCCCUUUCGGGAGGGAAGAUGGAACGGGUAACCGUUCGGACGGUACCUCCAGAAGCAGCCACGGCUAACUUCGUGCCAGCAGCCGCGGUAAUACGAAGGUGGCAAGCGUUGUUCGGAUUUACUGGGCGUACAGGGAGCGUAGGCGGUUGGGUAAGCCCUCCGUGAAAUCUCCGGGCCUAACCCGGAAAGUGCGGAGGGGACUGCUCGGCUAGAGGAUGGGAGAGGAGCGCGGAAUUCCCGGUGUAGCGGUGAAAUGCGUACGGAUCGGGAGGAAGGCCGGUGGCGAAGCGGCGCUCUGGAACAUUUCUGACGCUGAGGCUCGAAAGCGUGGGGAGCAAACAGGAUUAGAUACCCUGGUAGUCCACGCCUUAAACGAUGGAUACUAAGUGUCGGCGGGUUACCGCCGGUGCCGCAGCUAACGCAGUAAGUAUCCCGCCUGGGAAGUACGGCCGCAAGG
rnacentral:rRNA from 1 species